AGAAAGGUCCGGGCAAUAUGUCUCUUAAAAAUGGUAAAAGCAAAUUGAGAAGAAUAUCUUCUUUUUGGAUUAAAUACGAGAUCCUGAUCCACUUACCAGAAGAUAGUCAGAUGUUCUCUGUGUCCGUCAGACCAACAGAUACUAUUAAGGACCUGCGAGUACUUUUAGUGCAACAAGGGGUCACUUCCUGGAAGAAACAUUUCUUUUACAACGGGAGACAGUUGGGUGAAUAUGAAACUAUUAAAAAU